AGAGCGAACGCUGGCGGCAGGCCUAACACAUGCAAGUCGAGCGCCCGUAGCAAUACGGGAGCGGCAGACGGGAGAGUAACACGUGGGAACGCGCCCUUCGGUUCGGAAUAACUCAGGGAAACUUGAGCUAAUACCGGAUACGCCCUUACGGGGAAAGAUUUAUUGCCGAAGGAACGGCCCGCGUCCGAUUAGCUAGUUGGUGAGGUAAUGGCUCACCAAGGCGACGAUCGGUAGCUGGUCUGAGAGGAUGACCAGCCUCACUGGGACUGAGACACGGCCCAGACUCCUACGGGAGGCAGCAGUGGGGAAUAUUGGACAAUGGGCGCAAGCCUGAUCCAGCCAUGCCGCGUGAGUGAUGAAGGCCCUAGGGUUGUAAAGCUCUUUUGUGCGGGAAGAUAAUGACGGUACCGCAAGAAUAAGCCCGGCUAACUUCGCGCCAGCAGCCGC
rnacentral:rRNA from 1 species